rnacentral:rRNA from 1 species
AUGUUCCACCUCCCCCUCCGUCGUCGCCUACGCUUCCGCCUCCCCCUCCAUGAUUUUGAUCCUAACCCUGCCGCCUUCUACUCUUUUGGCUGUCGCAUCGCCAUGGCCAGCCCCAGCCACCAUGAGCUCAGCUUCGUCCACCUUCUCACAGGCGAGCGAUUUCGCCUCCCCUAUCCACCGGCACCCUUCUGUCGCCUCCUCCUAUCUGGCGAUCUCGUCCUUGCCUUCGUUCCGACGGUCGGCCGUGCCGUCCAGUACUGUCGCCUUGGGGAUGUUGAGUGGCGUGUGGCGUCAUGCACUGAACCCUAUGUCCUGGAGGAUUUGAUCUUUCUCAAGGGCAACCUACACGCGCUGGUCAGAUCUGAAGAUGUUGGCGGCCUAUGUUACCGUCUCGCCGUGGCCAAUCUGUCAGACAAGAAUACAGUGGAAUUAAUGUUUCUUGGAGAUAAUUUGGAUACAUAG